rnacentral:lncRNA from 1 species
CUUUCGAAUCGUCGAUCGGCUCCGUUAAAUUUGAUCUAGAGUAUUUGAAGUAUCUAGGAAAUAAAUUUUAUGAUUUUACGAUAUUAUUUGCCUAGUGAACGAAGGGGCUCAAAAUCAACGGUUGAAAAUAAAAAUCUUACAAAAUGUAAUAAUAUGACAUUAAAAUUUUAAAUCAAAGAUAUUGAUCUUGUUUUAUAUAGUAUAAAGAAUUUUCUAUCAAAAUUUCACGUGAUUUGGAUAUUUCUACACCGUUAAACUUGCAAACGGCUCACUACGGCCAUUGAAAUUUGUUGAUUUUGAGCCCAUUCGAUCACUAGGCAAAUGAUAUCGAAAAAUAAUAAAAUUUAUUUUCUAGAUACCCCAAAUACUCAAGAUCAAGUUUAACGGAGCCGAUCGACGAUUCGAAAGUCGCAACAUCGAAAACGAGCUGGAAGCACGAAAGGCUCCGUGCUUCCGAUAGCAUAGUAGCCUGACUCAUAUAUAUAUAUAUAUAUAUAUAUAUAUAUAUAGAACUAGGCUACUAUGCUAUUAAUAGCACCAAGUCAUUGGUGCUACCAAGUUUUUGGCCAUCGGAUUGAGAGAUGUGCGGUUAGGAUGAUGUGGGCCCCCUAGGGUUGAGUGGGUGGUUGGUUGAAUAGUAUGAUCUAACGGAUGAAAAUGAUCAAAAGGGUAGAUCAAACGGCGGAAAACUUGGUAGCACCAAGUGCUUCGUGCUAUUAAUAGCAUAGUAGCCGGACUCUAUAGAUUAUAUAUAUAUAUUAUGAGUGAGGCUACUAUGCUUUUGGAAGCACGGAGCCUUCUGUGCUUUCAGGUCGUUUUCGAUGUUGUGACUUUAGAAUUGUCGAUCGACUCCGUUAAACUUGAUCUAGAGUAUUUGAAGUACCUAGAAAAUAAAUUUUAUGAUUUUUCGAUAUCAUUUGCCUAGUGAUCGAAGGGGCUCAAAAUCAAUAAUUUUAAUGGCCGUAGUGAGCUGUUUGCAAGUUUAACGGUGUAGAAAUAUCCAAAUCACGUGAAAUUUUGAUAGAAAAUUCUUUAUGCUAUAUAAAACAAGAUCAAUAUCUUUGAUAUAAAAUUUUAAUGUCAUAUUAUCACGUUUUGUAAGAUUUUUAUUUUCAGCCGUUGAUUUUUAGUCCCUUCGUUCACUAGGCAAAUAAUAUUGAAAAAUCGCAUAAUUUAUUUUCUAGAUACUUCAAAUACUUUAGAUUAAGUUUAACAGAGCCGAUCGACGAUUCGAAAGUCGCAACAUGAAAAAUGAUCUGGAAGCACGGAAGGCUCCGUACUUCCAAAAGCAUAGUAGUCUCACUCAUUAUAUUAUUAUAUAUAUUAUUAAUUUUCACAU